CUGGGAGGACCAUCUCCUAAGGCUAAAUACUCUCUAGUGACCGAUAGUGAACCAGUACCGUGAGGGAAAGGUGAAAAGCACCCCGGAAGGGGAGUGAAAUAGAACCUGAAACCGUGUGCUUACAAGUAGUCAGAGCCCGUUAAUGGGUGAUGGCGUGCCUUUUGUAGAAUGAACCGGCGAGUUACGAUUUGAUGCAAGGUUAAGCAGUAAAUGUGGAGCCGUAGCGAAAGCGAGUCUGAAUAGGGCGUUUAGUAUUUGGUCGUAGACCCGAAACCAGGUGAUCUACCCUUGGUCAGGUUGAAGUUCAGGUAACACUGAAUGGAGGACCGAACCGACUUACGUUGAAAAGUGAGCGGAUGAACUGAGGGUAGCGGAGAAAUUCCAAUCGAACCUGGAGAUAGCUGGUUCUCUCCGAAAUAGCUUUAGGGCUAGCCUCAAGUGAUGAUUAUUGGAGGUAGAGCACUGUUUGGACGAGGGGCCCCUCUCGGGUUACCGAAUUCAGACAAACUCCGAAUGCCAAUUAAUUUAACUUGGGAGUCAGAACAUGGGUGAUAAGGUCCGUGUUCGAAAGGGAAACAGCCCAGACCACCAGCUAAGGUCCCAAAAUAUAUGUUAAGUGGAAAAGGAUGUGGCGUUGCCCAGACAACUAGGAUGUUGGCUUAGAAGCAGCCAUCAUUUAAAGAGUGCGUAAUAGCUCACUAGUCGAGUGACACUGCGCCGAAAAUGUACCGGGGCUAAACAUAUUACCGAAGCUGUGGAUUGUCCUUUGGACAAUGGUAGGAGAGCGUUCUAAGGGCGUUGAAGCAUGAUCGUAAGGACAUGUGGAGCGCUUAGAAGUGAGAAUGCCGGUGUGAGUAGCGAAAGACGGGUGAGAAUCCCGUCCACCGAUUGACUAAGGUUUCCAGAGGAAGGCUCGUCCGCUCUGGGUUAGUCGGGUCCUAAGCUGAGGCCGACAGGCGUAGGCGAUGGAUAACAGGUUGAUAUUCCUGUACCACCUA
rnacentral:rRNA from 1 species